rnacentral:rRNA from 1 species
CCUAACACAUGCAAGUCGAACGGUAACAGGAAGCAGCUUGCUGCUUCGCUGACGAGUGGCGGACGGGUGAGUAAUGUCUGGGAAGCUGCCUGAUGGAGGGGGAUAACUACUGGAAACGGUAGCUAAUACCGCAUAAUGUCGCAAGACCAAAGAGGGGGACCUUCGGGCCUCUUGCCAUCGGAUGUGCCCAGAUGGGAUUAGCUUGUUGGUGGGGUAACGGCUCACCAAGGCGACGAUCCCUAGCUGGUCUGAGAGGAUGACCAGCCACACUGGAAUUGAGACACGGUCCAGACUCCUACGGGA